AAAUAUUCUUUCGCUUGUUUGUUUAUUCCUGUACAUACCCCUUGUUGGAAAACUCAAAGAUUCAUCUUUGGUUUUUCUUCAUUGAAGAUUUUUCCUAAAGACACUGAAAAAAAAAGAAAAAAAGAAAAAAAAGAUUUAUUCAGUUGAGCUUUUAAGGUGCAGUAUUGGCUGGAUGGUUGUGAGAAGGACGAUGAUGUUUACGAAUUAACAGAACAGGAAUUUCAGACAGAUUUGAAGGACGGAAAUUUGUUUAUCCUCAACAGUACACAGUUGGAUCACUGCUACACAAUUUUUUGAAAAAGACUAUAAGGUUUAUUGAGUUUGUUAGAGUUAUCUUCUUUAAAAAUGAUUAUCUUUCUUUGAAAUUAUAGUCUUAUAUUUUAAAUUGGAUUACCUCCC